rnacentral:rRNA from 1 species
AUUGAACGCUGGCGGCAUGCUUUACACAUGCAAGUCGAACGGUAACAGGCCGCAAGGUGCUGACGAGUGGCGAACGGGUGAGUAAUGCAUCGGAACGUGCCCAGUCGUGGGGGAUAACGCAGCGAAAGCUGUGCUAAUACCGCAUACGAUCUAUGGAUGAAAGCGGGGGACCGUAAGGCCUCGCGCGACUGGAGCGGCCGAUGGCAGAUUAGGUAGUUGGUGGGGUAAAGGCCUACCAAGCCGACGAUCUGUAGCUGGUCUGAGAGGACGACCAGCCACACUGGGACUGAGACACGGCCCAGACUCCUACGGGAGGCAGCAGUGGGGAGUUUUGGACAAUGGGCGCAAGCCUGAUCCAGCAAUGCCGCGUGCAGGAAGAAGGCCUUCGGGUUGUAAACUGCUUUUGUACGGAACGAAACGGUCUGGGUUAAUACCCUGGGCUAAUGACGGUACCGUAAGAAUAAGCACCGGCUAACUACGUGCCAGCCGCCGCCGUAAUAC